rnacentral:lncRNA from 1 species
AGUAAAGAUGGGGUUUCACCAUAUUGGUCAUGCUGGUCUUGAAUUCCUGACCUCGUGAUCCGCCCACCUCAGCUUUCCAAAAUGCUGGGAUUACAGGCAUGAGCCACCACACCCGGACUCCUUUUUUUUAAACAUUCAAAAUGAACAUCAUUGACAUGAGUCCUAUUUGCAGAGGCAGGUGGGGGGGACUAGUAUUAAACUUAAAUUGCAUGCUAACUUAUUGCAUAAAGGAACAGCAAUGAGGAAAUUGGCACUAAUUUUUAGCCACUACCAUUUUGACAGAUGGACUUGUUUGAAAAGUUGCAGCAUGGGGGCAAUGAGAAUUCUACGCUUUUAUCCUGAAAUCAGACCCCACGUGGCAUCACCAAGCCGGGUGGGCUGUAGCAAGUUUAGGGGCCACAGGGCCACAAGUGCAAACCACUGAGACUUAUGGAGGCAUUAUCACACGUCAUUGUCACAACUCCAUAAAGUAGGCCUGUUAUUAUCCCCAUUGUCCAAAUAAGGGAGCAGAGACCUAAUAUCCCACAGCUAGUCCAGCUGAGCAAGGCUCCAACUUGAGAUUCAUUGGCUGCAGACCCCGCUCAUGACCAUGACCCUUUGUAUCUUACUGGACAAAACGGCCUCUAAGUCCUUUGCCUCUCUAAACUGUUUGGUUUCCAUGCUCCUAUCUCCCACAUUUAUUAUUCCUGCCACCAGCCGCAGGUUAGAGGCCAGGACUACACUGUCGUCUGGACUGGAUACCAGGUUGCCUUUGCAGCCAGGAAACACUUCAGCAGACCCUUCGCCCUGGGACACAGAGUGAGUAGCAGGUCAGAGAAGGGCUCAGAAGAGGGCGGCCUCGGCAAAGCGAUGGGCCAUGCCCGGGGGUGCUUUCACUCCGCAGCCUCCAUGGGUUUCAGUGGUAGCAAGUGUGGGGCUGCAGGCCCGUAAUCCCAGUACUCAGGGAGGCUGAAGUGGGAGGAUCGCUUGAGCCUAGGAGUUCAAGACCAGUCUGGGCAACACAGCGAGACCCUAUUUCUACAAAAUUUUUUUAAAAGUUAGACAGGCGUGGUGGCAUGUGCCUCUAAUCCCACCCACCCGGGAAGCUGGGGUGGGAGGAAGGCUUGAGCCCAUGAGGUUGAGGCUGCAAUGAGCCGUGAUCAUGCCACUACACUCCAGCCUGGAUGACAGGGCAACAUCCUGUCUCAAAAAAAAAAAAAUGGUAGCAAGUGGUGACUUGGUGACAGAGCAGCUUCUGCUUUCCAGCCCCACAUCACUUCCCUUAUCACAAAUCCGCAUCCCCCCAUUCAUGACGGCACUGUCCUCUUUCCGUCUCUCAUGCACACUGUGCUACACUGCCCAGAUCCCCCCACUAGGACUGAAGGAUCAGUCUCCCAGCUGCUGGGAAGGUGGUUGAUAGCAGCUCUCUGGUCAAUAUGAGGCAGAAAGCCCUGCCCCGUAGCUCCAGCUCAGGACAGCUCCGAAGGGCCAGCCUAACCCCAGAGCUCCCAGAGGGGGCUGGCUGAGGCUUCGAGAAGGCCCAGCAGCCCCAACUCUCCCUCCCUGCUCCUUCCCCGCUGCCCACAGGUGUUCCUGCUGAAAACACGUCUUAAGAAACUGCUGGCCCGGCCCGGCGCGGUGGCUCAGGCCUGUCAUCCCAGCACUCUGGGAGCCCAAGGUGGGCAGAUCACCUGAGGUCAGGAGUUCGAGACCAGCCUAGCCAACAUGGUGAAACCCCAACUCUACUAAAAAUACAAAAAAUUAGUCAGGUGUGGUGGCGGGCACCUGUAAUCCCAGAUACUCAGGAGGCUGAGGCAGGAGAGCCGCUUGAACCCAGGAGGCAGAGGUUGCAGUGAGCCAAGACCUUGCCAUUGCACUCUAGCCUGGGCAACAAGAGCGAAACUCCAUCUCAAAAAAGAAACUGCUGGUCUGUCAUUUCGUCUCAGAGGUUCCUUCCCAGAAGCAAGUCCUCUCCAUCAUCUUUUCCCUUCUCACUGUGGAAGCCCCCCAGUGUCUGUAUGGUAUUCCAUGGUGUACAUACUAUGCAGCCAUAAAAAAGAAUGAGAUAAUGUCCUUUGCAGGAACAUGAAUGGAGCUGGAGGCCAUCAUCCUUAGCAAAGUUACGCAGGAAGAGAAAACCAAAUACCGCAUGUUCUCAUUUGUAAGUGGGAGCUAAAUGAUGAGAACACAUGGACACAUAGACACGAAAAGCACACACUGGGGUCUAUGGAAGGGUGGAGGGAGGGUAGAGGGAGAGACUUAGGAAAAAUAACUAAUGGGUACUAAGCUUAAUCCCUGGGUGAUGAAAUAAUAUAAUCUGUAUGACAAACCCCUGUGACACGAGUUUAACUAUAUAAUAAACCUGCACAUGUACCCCUGAACUUAAAAUAAAAGUGAAAAAAAGAAAAAAGAAAACAGAAAAGAAAAUCAUGAUCUUGGGGAAAAAAAUAAAAAGAAGUCUCCCAAUAUAAAAGGCCGCCAAGUGCUUACAGGAGACCCUUCCCCAGCCCAGUCACAAUUUGGUGCCAGCUUUUCUCCCCAGCAGUGGGGUAAAGGUGGAUGCUCACUUACCACCUGUGGGCUUGGGGUCACGUUUCCCACCUUCCCACAGGUAAGCGGUGAAUGAGCAGUGCAGCAUGGGGAAACCGAGACAACCUUUAAUCAGGAAACCUCAGAGAGACGCAUGACACCUGGCGGUACAGUCCCAGUGAGUGGAAUCCCAGCCGG